CUAGUAACUGCGAGUGAAGCGGGAAAAGCUCAAAUUUAAAAUCUGGCGGCCGAAGGCCGCCCGAAUUGUAAACUAGAGAAGUGUUACCCGCGCUGGACCGUGUACAAGUCUCCUGGAAUGGAGCGUCACAGAGGGUGAGAAUCCCGUCUUUGACACGGACUACCAGGGCUUUGUGGUAUGCUCUCAAAGAGUCGAGUUGUUUGGGAAUGCAGCUCAAAAUGGGUGGUAAAUUCCAUCUAAAGCUAAAUAUUGGCGAGAGACCGAUAGCGAACAAGUACCGUGAGGGAAAGAUGAAAAGAACUUUGGAAAGAGAGUUAAACAGUACGUGAAAUUGCUGAAAGGGAAACGCUUGAAGUCAGUCGCGUUGGCCGGGGAUCAGCCUUGCUUUUGCUUGGUGUACUUCCCAGUCGAUGGGUCAGCAUCAAUUUUGACCGCUGGAAAAAGGCUUAGGGAAUGUGGCAGCUUCGGCUGUGUUAUAGCCCUAUGUCACAUACAGCGGUUGGGAUUGAGGAACUCAGCACGCCGCAAGGCCGGGUUUCGACCACGUUCGUGCUUAGGAUGCUGGCAUAAUGGCUUUAAGCGACCCGUCUUGAAACACGGACCAAGGAGUCUAACAUGCCUGCGAGUGUUUGGGUGCAAAACCCGAGCGCAUAAUGAAAGUGAAAGUUGAGAUCCCUGUCGUGGGGAGCAUCGACGCCCGGACCAGAACUUUUGGGACGGAUCCGCGGUAGAGCAUGUAUGUUGGGACCCGAAAGAUGGUGAACUAUGCCUGAAUAGGGUGAAGCCAGAGGAAACUCUGGUGGAGGCUCGUAGCGAUUCUGACGUGCAAAUCGAUCGUCAAAUUUGGGUAUAGGGGCGAAAGACUAAUCGAACCAUCUAGUAGCUGGUUCCUGC
rnacentral:rRNA from 1 species